CCCAAUCCCAGGAAUCCCGGCCAGAUCCCUCUGCACAGGACAGAAAUAGAUUGUAAUUGACAGAUGACAGGCUCUGGCCAAGUCCUGGUGCUUCAGAAGGGGGGAUGCAGGGAUAAGGGCUAUUAUUAUCCCUGUUAUUUUUUAUUUGGGAAGUGCUCCUACCGCCUCAAGCGCUCCCGGGAUUGCCGGCAAGAGCCUUCCUGUCCUUGGAACACGGGAUUUCUGGGAUCCAAGGGUGUGACUGGAGAUGAGCUAUGAGCUGUGGGAUGGAUGUGCUAACAACCUUUGGCAGAAAGGAGAGGACUGGACCAGCACUUCAUCCCGGCUGGAGACAUUCCAGGGCCAAGGAAUUGCCACACCAAGGAGCGGCUGGGAAGUGAGAGUCGGACAAAGCGGCGGAAGCCAGGGUGAAACAUCUCACAAAGGCCAACUAUCGCCCGGCUUUCCCAAGCAGACAUUAUUCCAUGCCACAGCAUUGGAUACAACUGGAGCCCAACUUGGCUUUGAAGGUGCAGCCCUGAGGUGGUGGGGGGAGCAUCCUCACGUUGAUCUGGUAAAAACAUCAUCCAACUCCAAUGUGCUGCAGCAAACAGGCCAGGGAGAUGAAGGAAACCACAUUAAAAACAUGAUGAAAGUUGCCUCGAGGCUCCUUAUGUCACACUUGGGCUCUGGGCACUUGGGUUUUUUUUAUUUCUUCCCUUUUUUCUUCCUUUAAUAAACCCAAACUUGGCAUUCUUUGCACACACACACAGAGGUGCAAGCCAAGGGGGACAUUAAAAGCUCACAGGCAAGAGGGGAUUUGGGUUCCUUGGCUCCCACUGGAAUUUCUGAGGCCUUGUAGCAGAUGACCUGCCUCCUUGGGUGGAAAAAAAGCAAUUUUCGUUCUAAAUAAAAAAAAAUUAGAUAAAAAUUGGUCCA
rnacentral:lncRNA from 1 species